CUUCAGCGAGCCGAGCCACAGCGGUUCACCGGCGCGGUCCUGGCCGUAGGUGGCGAGGAGCGCCUGGGCCUC
rnacentral:antisense_RNA from 1 species